CAAAGUGCUUACAGUGCAGGUAGUGAUAUGUAGAAUCUACUGCAGUGAAGGCACUUGUAGC
rnacentral:pre_miRNA from 2 species